GAGUUUGAUCAUGGCUCAGAUUGAACGCUGGCGGCAGGCUUAACACAUGCAAGUCGAGCGGAAACGAUGAUAGCUUGCUAUCAGGCGUCGAGCGGCGGACGGGUGAGUAAUACUUAGGAAUCUACCUAGUAGUGGGGGAUAGCACGGGGAAACUCGUAUUAAUACCGCAUACGACCUACGGGAGAAAGGGGGCAGUUUACUGCUCUCGCUAUUAGAUGAGCCUAAGUCGGAUUAGCUAGAUGGUGGGGUAAAGGCCUACCAUGGCGACGAUCUGUAGCUGGUCUGAGAGGAUGAUCAGCCACACCGGAACUGAGACACGGUCCGGACUCCUACGGGAGGCAGCAGUGGGGAAUAUUGGACAAUGGGGGCAACCCUGAUCCAGCCAUGCCGCGUGUGUGAAGAAGGCCUUUUGGUUGUAAAGCACUUUAAGCAGUGAAGAAGACUCUUCGGUUAAUACCCGGAGACGAUGACAUUAGCUGCAGAAUAAGCACCGGCUAACUCUGUGCCAGCAGCCGCGGUAAUACAGAGGGUGCAAGCGUUAAUCGGAAUUACUGGGCGUAAAGCGAGCGUAGGUGGCUUGAUAAGUCAGGAUGUGAAAUCCCCCGGGCUUAACCUGGGAACUGGUCUUGGAUACUGUAGGGCUAAGAGUAAGGUGAAAGGGAAAGGUAGAAUUUCCCAGGUGUA
rnacentral:rRNA from 1 species